UUGGUAGGGUGUAACACAACUCAACUGUGUAACUGUGGGGUGUAACGCCGAAGAAUGGUGCAAUUACUCGGUGUUCAAAAUCAACACCGACAAUUAACACCAAUGCCACCUCAGACCAACCGACGCUACGGAUAAAUAACACCACCAUUUGGUGUCAACACCCCGUGACAGAGACGUUAUAUCGCAAACGCCACACAAUGGUGUAGCUCCCAGUUCAUUGGUCUCUAAACGGUGUUACUAGCACCGUUACCAUGGAUCAGAUAUGGCCUUGGAUUCAAGGUCAGCCGGCCGCCGGCCAGCGCGAGCGGUUGCGCGUGCACAUGCGUAAAUUCAAAUGAACGGCGGCGCGGCGUGUUGAUUCGCGCUUCAGUUUGAAACGAGUGAUGCGGGGAUGUGUGGAGACUGGAGGUGGUGUGAGAUGAAGAUGGAGCCUGCCGCGGGAUCAUCACAGAUGUGGAAAGAGUUCGGUAGACUGACAGGCUGGGAAGGAGAUGUCAAAGCCGACUGGCGCACAGCGUCUCCGAGACGUGUUGGACCGCUUGAAGUUGGAGACCGGCUGUGGAGAUGAUACUGUGUCAGCUCUGCUGUCGCUGCUGGGUGAGGACGACGCGGUGUUCCCAACAAACAUGGAGGCGUGGCCUUGUAUUGUGGGCGAGAACCUGUGUGUGGAAAAAAACGGAGGUCGUGAAGACGAACGGGCUAAGCAGCCAGGACAAACUGCUCCUGUGGGGAAUCGUUUUCUCCGUCCUGUCACAGAAAAUGACAUUCACGGCAUGCCAGUGUACGGCCACCCUCAUGAACGUUCAUGUGCUGAGGGCGGAUGAGAUAGGCUCCAUGCCAAAGAGGCUCCGAGCUGCCUGGAGUAGGCUGACUGCUCCAACUAAGUAGGUGACAAAAAGAUGACGUUCAGUUGAGUUCAUGAGCCUGCUUUCCUGUUCAUUGUGACUUGUGAGUUAGGGCUCCAGGCGGCGCGGAGUCUCUUUACCAUAGUGCUUUGGUUAUCAUACCAAGAUUGUUUAGAAAAAACAGAGUCCGGUGACCACCCGUGCACUUGAGAAAGCGCCACUCACAGUUGCCGCAAUUUUUGUUAAUAACAUUUGUUUAUUGCUCGUC